CACGUAGGGCGCAAGCGUUGUCCGGAAUUAUUGGGCGUAAAGAGCUCGUAGGCGGUUUGUCGCGUCUGCUGUGAAAACUCGGGGCUUAACUCCGGGCCUGCAGUGGGUACGGGCAGACUAGGGUGCGGUAGGGGAGACUGGAAUUCCUGGUGUAGCGGUGAAAUGCGCAGAUAUCAGGAGGAACACCGGUGGCGAAGGCGGGUCUCUGGGCCGUAACUGACGCUGAGGAGCGAAAGCGUGGGGAGCGAACAGG
rnacentral:rRNA from 1 species